UUAAAUUUAAAAGAAAAAUAUCAAAACUUUUCUUGGCCGUCCUCCUCCCGGCCAGCCCUCUGAUCGUGAUGUGCUUUAUAUUAAGUAAAAUGAUUGGGUUUUUAUUUGUCAUCAGCUUCCUUGGCCUUUUUAAUCUUGUUCCACUUCGUAUGGUUUUGGCCCUUGUUUCUAAGCUUCCAUAUCCUAGUGUAACAGCUUCUGCUAGGUUUCAUAUCAACAAUGGAGUUGCGCUUACAGAGAAGCAAGGGCGGCCGAUUCAUGCACAAACGCUUCUGAUUGGUGGGUUUGCUUCUGAUUUGUAUCUUGGCAAUACUAUGUUUUGAUAUGUAGAUGAAAUACGGGCUUUUGGAUUAUGGGCGCAACGUGUUUGACGAAAUGACUGAGAGGGCUGCGCAUUUGGUCAUCUUCAAACACCGAUGGCGUUGGAAGUUUCUUGCUGGCGGCCGCCGUGGGUGCUGCCCUGCCUCCGGUAUCUUUCCCAGUUGCAUAUGACGUUGGCAUUUCCGACGUUUCUAGAGCUCCUUGGGUGCACGCUGAGCUGUAUCACAGCUUCUUGGUGUAUGCUUGUGACGCUUCGGAAAUGGAGGGGCAUGAUCGGGCGCCAGUCGGGCUUCAACGCAGAGUUGCUUACAGGGCCUAGCAAAUUCAGUUACCCCGAGCUGAAGUCAGCCACAUUACAUGACGGGCGACAUGGGGUACCAACGUGGCCAUGGCUGCAGAUUCGUUUUGCAUGGGUGAGAAUUUCUGAAGCUUUUGGAAGCAAGGAUAACCGUAUGAGCUUGAGUCUUGGACGGUUUUGGAGGUCCACGUGACACGACCUGAUGACGUUUUGAUACUUGUGGCUGGACUUUGGACGCAGUUCAACGUGGCAGCAGCAAUUCUGGACUUUGGGCGCAGUGCUUCUUAUCUCACCCCCAGCUAGUGCAAAAUAUGGGUCAUCCCUGCAUGCCUCUUGCAUUCAGGAUCUUCCAUAUCAUCUAAUUGCACCCUACCUGCCUAUUAUCUAUAAGGACUUUUAUGACCUGCGCCUCCUAUCAGAAAACUUUGUUAGGUACUUCUUAACAAAUAUGUCACUGUUGGUAGCCAAACAUGGUUCACUAAACUUCCUUAAGUCUCUCAAUCAUAAUAAUAGUAUUAUUUGGGGCGACAAAUGACAUGGUUUCUAAGAUAAUAGACGAUUUUUGGAUACUACACCUCGGGCUCAUGACAGAAGACAAAGAGGUUGAGGUGACUCUACAUGCUUCCACAAUACUUUUACAUGACUCACUUUAUCUAGAAGCCCUAAACCUUGAUCAUUUUGCAAGAAUGCUGGAUAAGGUUGUUGGUGUCAUUGUGCAUGAUAGAAUGGAGGUGGAAUCUGAAAUUCUAGAGACUGAAUUUGAAUGUCCUUCCAAUGAUCCGAUGAACUUUUUGGUGGAUUGUUUGGCACAUCUUUCUUCGGUCCUUCCUCCUGGGAUCGUUUGGCACAACUCAAUGUUUCUUGUCUUGCAAAGUUGAAGCAGUGCUUCUUGAUUAGAGCAAUCAAGAAAUUGACUGAUGAUGUUGCGGCACAUCCCAGGAGGAAGGACUAAAGAAUGAUGUGCCAAACUAUCCAUCAAAAAGUUCCUCGGAUCAUUGGAAGUACAUUCAAAUUCAAUCUUUAGAAUUUCAGAUUCCACCUCCAUUCUAUUAUGCACAAUGACACCAACAACCUUGUCUAGCAUUCUUGCAAAGUUAUCAAAGUUUAGGGCUUCUGGAUAAAGUGAAUCAUGUAAAAGUAUUGUUGAAGCAUGUAGAGUCACCUUAACUUCUUUGUCUUCUGUCAUGAGCCCGAAGUGUGGCAUCCAAAAAUUGUCUAUUAUCUUACAAAGCAUGUCAUUUGCGCCCAAACAGUACUAUUAUUAUGAUUGAGAGACUUAAUAAAGUUUAGCGAACCAUGUUUGACUACCAACAGUGACAUGUUUGUUAAGAAGUACUUGACAGAGGUUUUUGACAGGAGGCGCUGGUCAUACAAGUCCUUCCAGAUAAUAGACAGGUAGGGUGCAAUUAGAUGAUAUGGAAGAUCUUGAAUGCAAGAGGCAAGCAGGAAUGAGCCAUAUUUUGCACUAGCUGGGGAUGAGAUAAGAUGCCUCACUAUGCUCUGCAGCUGACUAAUUAGUCUCCAUUCUGUGUUAAGCUAGUGGGGUGUCUUGUGAAUGAAGGCUCGAAGCAGAUGCACCAGGGAGGGGAGAUUGGAAGUUCUCUUCCACCAAUUAAGAGACAGGAGAGACUCAAAAAGCUGAAUUGGUGGAGAAUCAUAGGCCAAUAUUAGGGGCAGGGAAGAAAAGAAGCCUUUCUUCAAAAGCUUAUAUAAGAGAGGGGUCCCUCUUACAAGCCCACUGGAUAAGAAUGGCCACUGACUCAAACAGAUACCGAUUACAGAUUGGAUUCUUUGAAUUUUUGCCAACUUUCAUUAGACUAGGGAUUAACCAAAUAUCAUCCUCAUCACGAGGCAUUUCUGCUACAGCAAGAAAUACAUUACAAGAGGCCCACUUUAGUCAUCUGUCACCCAAGAGGAUAUCAAGCCUGGGAUGGUUUUGAGGGCUAAAAAUUAUAGCUGUCCGACAGCUUUGGUGCUAUUGGGCAAUUUCCUGGUGGUUUGAAGGCUAAGUGUCCUGUCCAGCAUAUGUCUGAAUUUGAAGUUGCAAAGCCUGGCAAAAAAUUUGAGGUCAAUGUCCUAGCAGCAUAUGCUUUUUGAACUAGUUCCAUUUUAGGUUAAUGUUGAUUGCAUUUCUGGUGGACUAUGAUAGGGCAAGGAUGAUUCAUCUUAUUUUGGGUUUUUUUUUUUUUUGGUUCCUUUUAUUAAACUGAUUGAUUUUGAAGCUAUUGACUGCUUUUGGAUGUAUGACUUUCCAGGUUGGGGCUGAGCUGGUAUUCCGGUUGCUUGGUUGCAAAUUGAAGAGAAUAACCCUUACAAACAAUAAGACACACUUUUAUGCUCUUUUUUCUGAAUCUCCCAUGACUAGUAUUUUUUUCCUUAAUAUGUCAACACAGAGACACUUGUAUGUUCCUUUUUUUUUUUUUUUUUCUUUUUUUUUUUUUUUGAAUCUCCCAUGUCUGGUUGAUCUCUAUUCUCUUCGAAGUUGGUAAAAACCCAAAGAAUCCCAAUCUUUAAUAACUAUCUGUUCGAGUCCGUGGCGAUUCUUGUCAAAUUGGCUUGUGAGAAGGAGCCGUCUCUUAACAUCAGCUUUUGAAGAAAGGGUUUUUUUUUUUUUUCCCCUUUCCUGCAGCUAAUAUUGGCCAAUGAUGUUACUGAGUUCUUCCCUUAUGCAUUUCAGCUGCUGGCUCAGCUUGUUGAGUUGAAUAGUCCACAAUUCCUCCAAUCUACAUGCAAACUUUUGAGAGUCUCCUGUCACCUAAUUGGUGGAAGAGAACUUCAAAUGUCCAAGCCCUUGUGCGUGAGCUUAACCAAGAGAGUAGGCUUAGCGAGUGCAUAGCAUAUUCAGCUGGCUUAGCUCAUCCUCUGUUACAGCUAAACAUGGGUCCUAUGUGCUCGGCACUGUCAUUCAGAAUCUUGAAUAUGGUGUAAUUGCACCCUACAUUUGUGGUAUUUGGAAAGACUUAUGUGGAGCAGAAAACUUUGUCAGAUCAUGCUCUAUGUGUUCAGGAACAAGACAGUAAAAGAACAAUGGGUUCUGAAAAAUCAAAGUUGGUCUUCACUAAAAAUUUAGGCAAUCCUAUAAGAUUUUUCCUUUUUAUUGCAAGCAUUCUUAGAAGUGAAGAAUGUUUGCUAUGCUCAUGAUUAUGUUGAUAAGUAUAUCAAAUCUUUCAAAUGAGUUUGGCUGGUAUUAUUGCUCCUUUUGAAUAAGAAUAUAUUAAUCUAAAUUUUAGUCUUGCAUUGUGGAAAAGAAAGGCAAAAUGUCAUUAGCCAUUUAGUUAUGUUGUCUGCCACGUUUUAAGAAUGUCAUUUGGGCAACAAAUAAAUUAGCCAUUUAGUAUGUUCCUAUCUUUAUGUGAUGUUAUAUGUUUCUAUCUUUCAUUAUCAUUCAUGCGCUUGUCAUUGUAGCAAUCGGCAAAACCAAGGAGGACGCUAGAAACAAGCAAUUUGGGUGGUCAAAACAUUUUAUAAAAUAAUGAGCUAUAUUUCGUAGUCUUUUAUAAGCUGUAUCUUUAUUAUGGCCGAAACACCACAAAAAAUUGAAAAAAUCAUUUGGUUGCUACGUUCAUACAAGAAGACACCUUUUUGUACCAUGCUCACUUAUGUUGCAACUUGCAACCAAUUUGCCAAUGGAUAUAAGGUCCAAAUUGUUUCUUCAUCAUGCCCCACUUCAUUUAUGGUCUUUCCAGUAAGCAGAGAGAUUGAAGUGAAAUUGGGAAACUUCUAUAACGGGUUGUUGGACGAAUUGAUAAAGUUUGUCAAGUUGUGUAUCUGGAUUGUGACCCGGAUAUAAUGUCUAAAUGUGUGAUCAAGGAUCUCAAGGGAAUUUUGAUUGAUCUUCUUGUUCCAGGCAUGAUGGUCAAUGCUUGUGUACAAUCAAUUCUUGAAAAUGGCGUUAUGUUAUCAUUCCUUACAUACUUUACUGGAACUGGCUGCCACUAACAACUUUGAUGCUGCAAAUAAAAUUGGGGAAGAUGGUUUUGGAUCCGUCUACAAGGUAUACUUCUAGAUGGUACUAUAAUUGCCGUAAAGCAACUUUCUUCAAACUCAAAUCAAGGAAACCGUGAAUUUGUUAAUGAAAUUGGCAUGAUAUCUGGUUUACAGCACCUGGUCCGGAGGAAUACCACUUAAAAUUGGACUGGUCCGUGAGGCAGAAAAUGUCUUGGCAUAGCAAGAGGCCUAGCUUUCUUGCAUGAGGAAUCAACAAUAAAAAUUUAUCAUAGAGACAUCAAAACUACCAAUGUUCUACCGGAUAGGGAUCUUAACCCAAAAAUUUCUGACUUUGGUUUGGCCAGACUUGAUGAUGAGGAAAGUACCCACAUCAGCGCCCGAGUUGCGGGGAACAACGUGAGCUACCUUUUCCCCUGUUUCCUUCGACAUGGUGUCUUUUUGUAAUUCUAUUAUUUCUUUUCUUUUGGUCUCCCAAGGAUUAAGUACUAUAGACAUCGUGGAUUAAGUA